AUGGCGGCCUUUUCUCUUCUCCUUUCGAACAACGUGGUUGCCCUUCUCAAGUUCUCAUGUGUAAUCGACUAAUCAAACUCGUCACGCUCUUGAUUGUGGAAAUCAAUGAUUUGGCCCUUUUUACUUCCACUCGUGCAUACGCUGAUUAUGGUAUGACCACAAGCGGUUGUUCUUUCGACGAAGACGUCUCUCAAGUUCUAGAUUUAAACUUCCAGUUUACUGGGAAUCGUGGAAGGAUUUGUGUGUACUCUUUGUGAACACCAGGACCAAGUAUGCAAUGGAUUCAAGAAAAUUGUUAGUGGUGAAAUGCAGAGACAAUAUUGUUGCUGUAGCGGCAGGAGGAGAUCAAAUGGGAUUUGUGCCCUGGCCCACCCCUAGCCUUUAGGCCCACCAUUAAAGGUGUUAAUCUUAAUCUUAUUCCUACUCUCAAUAACUACAGUUAUUUUAUUGCUUCCAGAUGGUGGUGAUUUGCUGCUAGAUUCGGCAGCUCAAGAUACACUUUUAUUUGUGUCAUUGUGUGGGGAGAAUUCGCUCAGUAGUCAGCAAGGAUGUAAUGCCCGGCGGAGCCUAUUGGCUUGUGUAUUCACUGUAAGCUGGGUCCUACAAGGAUCAGCCUCAGUCAGAUGGUAGAAAAUUAACCCUUCAAUUCAUUCAGGCAAUGGAAACUAAGUGAACAGCCUCCAUUGGCAGUGGCCCAUAUUCAAAAUUUUCCGCAGGUGUUAUCGGAACAAAUCUCUUGGAGGUACUCUUCUGUUGCAUGAGCAAAACUAUGACGAUCCUUCCAGCGGUAUUUAGAAUGAUCCAAGUCCGUGUGAUUGGGUAAAAUCGUUGGAAACAUAUUAGGCCUUUACGGUUGUAGAACAGGAAUCAGCUUCAUCUCAGUUCAUGGAUAUCAGGACCCGCUUUAUCACUUAAUAAUCAGUGACACGACGUUGAGGCUGCCGAAGUGAAUCUGAAAAUGUGAACUUCUCCUCUGCAACGGCCAGUUGUGAUGUGGCCCUGCAGUAUUUUAUUUGACCAACGACAAGAAAGUGCGCGUUUUCAACACGACGGAUCACCAGGGACCGAAAUUGGCCGCCUUUUUCGAAGAAGUCGCAUGUUUGACGAAAUGAAAUGUCAGAAGAAAUGGCGCGGCCAGCCGUUCCUCUUUUGGUGUCGUCGUACCGCCUUAGGAAUCCCAACUCAACCGUCGUCAAGGCUUCACACUGCGUGAAUUUCGUCGACACUGUUCAUGAGUCAACAUGUAUCGUUUUCUCUUAGAUUAAUGAAAAGCAAUUCCAAAUCUCACACGGCAACCAUUACCAGCCCCCUUCAAAGAAAGGAUUCACCGUCAACCUCCUGUCACUCAAAUUUAUCCUAGAUAUCCUGAUUCAGGCACCUUUAAAAUAUGGAACUUCGCUUUAGGUCUUAAGCCACGUCAACCUAUCACUUGGAGUUGGAUCCUAUAGUGCAGGUUGCAUGGAAUUCUCGUUUACCUUUGCUGUGAACAUAAGUAACAUCUGCACUAAUUGAAGUCCAUUUAGGUGACUAUCUUAUUAAGUUUAUUCAAAAAUUAAAUGCGUUGAGUUGGAAGUUAAACCAGAAGUUUUCCGUUCCGUCCAAUCUUCCGGGUGCCUAAGGAAUAUGUUGGAUAUCACUAGGUGGCUAAAAUUAUGUCUGCUAGAUGGCGUGAGUGUCUUCGUUACUCAAGACGAAAUUCUGCCAUUUCUUAAAACACUGAUUGGAAACCACAUGUUGAAAACGUAUCGUUGGAUUGGAUACUUAAUACGGCGUACUUUUCUUUCUUGACAUUUCUAUUCGUAAUAAUGGUAUUUAUCUGGUAACAGCCUAUAAUUUCUACAUGACAAUUUCAUCUGAUCAUGUGGCCUUAGUAGCUGAACAUUUUGCCAAAAUGUCGUCUCUUUUUCCUGUACCAGCUUCACGUUUGUCGGAUACAAUUCAGAACAAUUCGGGAUUAACACCCUGGUGGAGUUUGAGCUUCUUUGUUGCUGCCCAACUUUCACAUGGAUUUGAUGCAGCCAGCUGAGGGCUUUAACUCUGGUUUAGCGUCUAUAUUGGUGUAGUUGCUGUCCGAUGUGGCACGUUGUUGCAGCCUAUACUGGUGAAAGAUCUUUCGACAUCAAGCUCAAUUGGCCGUUCCUUGGUGCUGAAUUGCUGAUGCUGUGUUGCCGAAGUUGCAUCAUAUUUUGUUAAAUUGUCAUCGUGACUAUUGCAGUUUACCGUUUAUAAGUUCAGAAGCAACAAAAACAAAUGUGGGAUGUUUAUGUCAACAAAUAAUAAACGUGUUUCCAGGAUUGGGAAAGGAAAGUGGAGGAUGUUGGAGGGGGGAGGGAGGAUAUUUUAAGUUUUUAUAAAAAUUCAGUUAAUCUAUAACCCUACAAACGUACCCCUACCAAUUAAUAAUCUCCAAACCCCACAAACAUAUACCCUCCAUUCCUUCAAACCCCACAAACAUACACCUACUAAAUCUUAAAUUUAUAUCCUUAACCCUCUAAACCAAUAU